rnacentral:rRNA from 1 species
AUUAAACGCUGGCGGCAUGCCUUACACAUGCAAGUCGAACGGCAGCACGGGGGCAACCCUGGUGGCGAGUGGCGGACGGGUGAGUAAAGCAUCGGAACGUAUCCUGGAGUGGGGGAUAACGUAGCGAAAGUUACGCUAAUACCGCAUAUUCUGUGAGCAGGAAAGCAGGGGAUCGCAAGACCUUGCGCUCUGGGAGCGGCCGAUGUCGGAUUAGCUAGUUGGUGGGGUAAAGGCCUACCAAGGCGACGAUCCGUAGCGGGUCUGAGAGGAUGAUCCGCCACACUGGGACUGAGACACGGCCCAGACUCCUACGGGAGGCAGCAGUGGGGAAUUUUGGACAAUGGGCGCAAGCCUGAUCCAGCCAUGCCGCGUGAGUGAAGAAGGCCUCGGUUGUAAGA